rnacentral:lncRNA from 1 species
AUGAGGACCAGGUUGCAGCAAAAGGUGCCGGCGAGAAGUUUUGAGCCUCUCCUGGAGGAUGGGACUGUUGGCUGCUCCCUGAGGUGCCCGGGGGACAACCAGGGGACAAGGCCAGGGCGGUGUCACCCCCGUGCCAACCCUCCCAGCCUGGGCACGGCUCAGAUCCUUCCGUUUCUUCUUGUUGUUCCUUUUCCUGCUCCCCAUCCUGGCGUCUGCCCGGCUCCCAGGAUGGGCAGAGGUCACUGUGGGCACGGCCAGCACACAGUCACCUGGCCAGAGCUGGAGCCUGUCCCCAGGGACAUCCCCACCCAUGGCUCCUGGCCCAGGGAUGGGGUGUCCCCUCCUCCUCCUGGGGCGCUGGGGUGGAGAUCCAGAGCUCGGGAUUGCCUCGGGAGGAGCUCGGGGGCUGCCGGGCUGUGCGAGGCCCUGGGCAGAGCUCUGGGGACAGAGCAGCUCCCCCGGGAUGCUCUGAGGAUAUUCCAGGGUGGCACCCGCGGUCCUGGGGGUGGUGGCCGUCCCCAGCUCUGGGUGUGUCCCCAGGUCCCUUUAAGAAACGCCACUUUGGGCUUUUCCCCGCUUUGUCCGGCUCGUUCCACCCCCGGCACCUCUCUCAUCCUGGGAUCUGAGCACACCCUGACAGCCGAUCCCUCGGGAAUGGCCAGGGGUCAGCUGCCAGCAGCGGCGUCUUCCAGCGGGGUGGGCACCCCGGACACCCCCGGGACAGCCCGGGACACACCUGGGACAGCCCGGGACACACCUGGGACACCCCAGACACCCCCGGGACACCCCGGGACACCCCCGAGACACACCGGGACACCCCCGGGACACCCCGGGGACACACCGGGCCACCCCAGACACCCCCGGACACCCCCGGGACACCCCAGAACCCCCCGGGACCCCCCUGCUCCAGUUGUUUUUAACCCCUCCGUAGCCACCGCCCGCGACUCCUCGUGUAACGCUCGGAUCUGUCGGAAUAAAAGAGAUCAAACACUGCGCUCCCAGCUCCGUGUGGAAUUCCGUGGGAAUGUUGGGAUUUAAACCUGCCUAAGGACAAGGUUAUUAUGGGCUGGUUUUACAGGGAAAAAGCUGCACGGGGUGGGGGAUUUUCCUUGGAAUGAUUUUCCCUGGAUGUGGGGCGGGCGCUUUCCCAGCAGCAGAAAUGAUGAAUUUUUGUGUGUUUGUAUAUAAUUAUACAAAAAUAAUUACAAAAUCUGUAUCGCGCUAGAUUAUAAAAAUACAUAUAAUUAAGGGCAUUAAAUAUAUAUAAUUAUCAUCUAGUACAUAUAAUAAAAUAUAUGAGCCAAUGGAUAUAUUUUAAAAU